GAUGAACGCUAGCGGCAGGCCUAAUACAUGCGAGUCGAACGGUAACAUGAGUAGCAAUACUUGAUGACGAGUGGCGCACGGGUGCGUAACGCGUAUGCAAUCUACCUUUAACUGGUGAAUAGCCCGAAGAAAUUCGGAUUAAUACACCAUAGUAUAUUGAGGAGGCAUCUCCUUAAUAUUAAAACUCCGGUGGUUAAAGAUGAGCAUGCGUGACAUUAGCUAGUUGGUGAGGUAACGGCUCACCAAGGAAACGAUGUCUAGGGGAUCUGAGAGGAUUAACCCCCACGCUGGUACUGAGACAGAGACCAGACUCCUACGGGAGGCAGCAGUAAGGAAUAUUGGACAAUGGUCGCAAGACUGAUCCAGCCAUGCCGCGUGAAGGAUGACGGCCCUAUGGGUUGUAAACUUCUUUUGUACGGGAAAAAACCCUUCUACGUGUAGAGGGCUGAUUGUACCGUAAGAAUAAGGAUCGGCUAACUCCGUGCCAGCCGCCGCCGUAA
rnacentral:rRNA from 1 species